UACAGAGGUCCCAAGCGUUGUUCGGAUUCACUGGGCGUAAAGCGCGUGUAGGCGGUCCGGUAAGUCCGCUGUGAAAGUCGGGGGCUCAACCCUCGAAUGCCGGUGGAUACUGUCGGGCUAGAGUGCGGAAGAGGCGAGUGGAAUUCCUGGUGUAGCGGUGAAAUGCGCAGAUAUCAGGAGGAACACCAAUUGCGAAGGCAGCUCGCUGGGACGUUACUGACGCUGAGACGCGAAAGCGUGGGGAGCAAACAGG
rnacentral:rRNA from 1 species